UUUCUCACACUAAACGACCCCUUGCUCUAUACACUAUUCUUUCACUUCUUUUUUUCAAGCCAUCGCCCCCUCUCUCUCUCUCUCCCUUUAGGGUUUUUUUGAUCUCCCAUCCAAAGUUGUCUCUUCCAUAUAUAAAAUUCAUCCUUUUUAGCCAUUCCAAACAAUUUAAUUCAAAAUAAUAUAUCAAAAACUCAAUAGACAUCACCUUCUUUGCUUUACAGUAUUCAUCAGUAUGAUUAACUACUGAUUAGAUGUCACAAUGAGGAUUUUUUGGAUUUUCAUGAGUGAAUCGCCUUGAUAGCUUCUUAGUUAUCGCUAUUGUGUAAAUCAGAGCAGCAAAUUACCUGAUCGGCUGAUUGAAGAAAAGAUUUGGAAAUUUUUGUUCUGUGAAAUCGAUAGAAGUGACUGGAGAUAAAAGGAAUUAAUAUGGCUUCUACAGUUCCAGCCAAGUCUAAUAACCCACUUCAUAACUUUGCUUUACCCCACUUGAAAUGGAAGAAGAAUCAUCAUUCCAAUAACCACCAGCGCCGCCGUUCCAAAAAGCUUUCUUCCGAUUCUUCGUCGCCGUCUCGGCACGAUUCACCGCUGCGCCAGUCACAGUCUCAGUCUCCAAUGCGUGAAUCCCUUGCGGCGUCGCGUCACUCUCCUAUGCGCGAUUCUGUUGCAGCCGUUCGUCAGUCUCCGAUGCAUGAAUCAGUUGCGGCAUCUCGACGGUCUCCGAUGCCUGAAUUCGUUGGGGCGGCUCGCCGAUCUCCGAUGCGUGAAUCCAUCACGGCGUUUCUCCAGUCUUCCAUGCGUGACCCUGUGUCAUCACGUCAAUCUCCGAUGCGGGAAUCUGUGCCGUCGCGUCACUCUCCAAUGUACGGCGUAUCUGUUCAUGAAUCGGACAAGGACAGGAGUGUUAUCGAGUAUAGACAUUCACGAAUAUCAGCACCUGAGAGUACGAAGAAAGGGAUCUGUGAGAAAUCAGAUAAGAAGCACAAUAAAGUAGUAGAGACUGAUGCGCCUGGGAAUAAAGAAGGCAGAUCGAAAAUCUUGCUCAGAAUCCCGAGGAAAAACAAGGCCGAGGAAAUCCAUGAAGGGGGGCAAAAGGGUGAUGAAUCUCAAGAGGAGGGAAAAGGGGUUACUGUUAGUGCUGAUGAUGAAGCUGCUGAAGAAUCAGCACCAAAGACGUGGAAUCUGAGACCCAGAAAACCUAUACACAAAUCAUUGAAUCUGAAUGGAGGUCCAUUUCGAGCCAGUGGAUCGGUGAUGCUGGAGACCAAAUCUCAAUCGCCUCUCAUAAAUGUGAAUAAGCCAGGAAAUAAUGAAUCAAACGCUGCUCAGAAGAAGGAAAAAAGGCAUAGGUUCUCAAUAGCCCUUACUAGAGAAGAAAUUGAUGAAGAUAUAUAUUCUAUGACUGGAUCAAAGGCUGCUAGAAGACCUAAGAAGAGAGUAAAGGCUGUUCAGAAACAACUUGAUACCCUCUUCCCUGGUUUAUGGCUAGCUUCAAUAACUCCUGAUUCGUAUAAAGUUUGCGAAAAUCUUCCAAAGGGUUAAAAGGAAUCCUUCAAAGGUGGUUGUCCUUCGAAUGUCCUUAGUUUUUGUGGAAGUUUGAAGUUGAUGGCUUCAAAAUUUUAUUAUUGCAUUGGAGGAAUGAUAUUUUAACUCUUAAACGAUGAACUGUUAAAAAUUGUUAUCCAACACAAUUCUCUUCUGGGAGGCUAAGCGGACGAGCUACUCAUCAUCAUCCAUCCCACUGAGUAACAACUAGGUCAGUGGGAUGUAAUAUAUCAUAUUCGAACAUGUAAUUCGUUUUGAAUAUACAAAAGCGAAAAGGUUCUGUUACUUCGUAAACUGCUACAUAUUUGAACUUUACAACUAACCCAUGGUUUUAGGCGGCCUUACAGUGACCUGGCUUGGUUAAGUGGAUAAAUUAUGAAGGUGAAGAACAUCAUCCAGGUUCCAACUUUGUGUAUUUUCUCAUGAUAAGAGUUUUACCUUCUCAUCAUUGACUAUAAUUUCUUUCCCUGCUUCCUGAUCAUAGGCAGGGAACCUGUACGUUGGUGUUGCAACAUACCGUGUGAUUGUGUGAUUGCAGAUUUAGGUGCUCUCCGUCUGCUCUGUGCAUCUGUGUGAUGGGGUAGGUCUAGUCUGGUAUUCCACUGUUUCUGGAUUUUCUGUUUAGUUUGUUAUCAUGAACUCAACCUUAUUUUGGUAUUAUUAUUAUACUAGUGAUAAUGGCCGCGCUUGCGCAGUUAGAAAUAACAUUAGUAAAUUUAUAUUAAUAGAUAUUGUUGCAAAUUAUUAUAAAGAAAAUGAUAUAUUUUUAUUACACACUAGUGAUAAUUAAUUGGAUAUAGUUAAUUGAAUAUAAAUUCUUACUUGAGUUUAUAUGUA